rnacentral:lncRNA from 1 species
UUUGAUCCUAAGAUCAAUGCAUUCCUCCAAACCCAUAAUACAAGCCUCAUACUCCGCCAUAUUAUUCGUGCAUUUGAAAGUCAACCUUGCUUUAAAAGGAAAAUGUGUGCCUUGAGGAGUAAUAAUCACUGCCCCAAUACUAUUUCCAUACUGAUUAACAAUGCCAUCGAACACCAUACCCCAUCGGGAACCAGGCUCUGGCCCUUCAUCGAGC